CAAAGUGCUGAGAGGACAGGGAAGCUGUAGUUAAGACAAGGACUCAUUUCCUCAGCAACCACCAUCUAGAGAGCACCUCCUGUGUGUCCAGAACCAUGCUGAGGCUGGGACAAGGAAACAGGUGACCACACUCCCAACUGUUGUUCACUUUCUGGCUCAGUGCUUAGUUGUGCUUGGCAACCAAUACUGCUAGAGGAAGAAGGAAGAAAGGAACCAAUUGAAUGGGAGGGAUUGAGGAUACAGGAGAACUCAUGCCAUCCUUGGCAGGAAGAUCACAAGAAGCAGGUGAAGAACCACAACACAGGUGGAGGUAGAUGGACAGCGCCCCAGAGGAUUCCAGCUGAGGAGAAGGAGUGUCGGGUACCACUUGCAAAGACCUGAGUUGCUCACAAUAAAUACAAACAGGUCAGCAUGCCAGGUCCCGGUGCUCUGAGGACUGGG